UACGUAGGGGGCAAGCGUUGUCCGGAAUUAUUGGGCGUAAAGAGCGCGUAGGCGGUCCGAUAAGUCGGCUGUGAAAGUCAUGGGCUCAACCCAUGAAAGCCGGCCGAUACUGUCGGACUAGAGUUCGGAAGAGGCAAGUGGAAUUCCCGGUGUAGCAGUGAAAUGCGUAGAGAUCGGGGAGGAACAUCAGUUGCGAAGGCGGCUCUCUGGACCAGUACUGACGCUGAGGCACGAAAGCGUGGGGAGCAAACAGGGAUUAGUGACCCCAGUA
rnacentral:rRNA from 1 species